GAGACCCGAGGCGGCCGCCGGUCCGCGUGUCAGGUGAACUGAACUUCAGGAGAGCAGCACAGAGACUCGGCUGGAGCUGGGCUUCACUCACUGAUGUAAGUGUCUGCCACCAGAGCACUAAACCGAGGCAGCAUGAUGACUGUGGUGUGAGCUGAGGUCAGCUGAGUUUGUGUUUUAAAAGCAGAUCUGGAUCAAGCGGCAGCCUCUGCAGGUGAAAAAUGACAAACACCGAGGUACCAAGACCUGCAGUUCCUCUAACAUCCAGCAGGGGCUUCAGCAGUUACAUGCACGUCCAUCCAGAACUAAAAGCAGAGCUCCAACACGCCCUAUGAAAGGUCGGUGAUACAGUAUUUGCUCCUGUUGCCAUCCAAGGUUUGAAAGAGUAUCUCCUUCUGACUAUAAAUGUGCACUGAGCUCAGGUUAUCAUUAUUUACCUAAAAGAUUUUUAUUGAAAAAUAGAGAAAAUACCAGAUUUCCUUUUUUUUAAUUGAAGGAUAAAUGAUCAGUGUGAAUUUCAUAAAUGUUUCCAAAACGUUGUUACAGGGGAAAAAUAAUCAGGAAGAAAAGGAACCUUAACAUCGACUUCCUCCACUUCUGCACAGCACGUGCACACAAACCCCACAGAAAAGACAAAAAUAUGUAUAAAGACAGUAAUUGUGUUUUCCACUAGACUGUUUGUCAUCGCCAGAAAUUUUAUAUGGGAGACAUACCUUUAACAUUUUAACUCCAGCAACUUUUCUACAUUUCACUGAUACAGAAGUUACUGUAUGAAGGAAGGAAAUGAAGUAAAGUAUGAAGUUUGUUUUGUUUUCAACUUUUCCUAGGUUGCUGUUGCAUUAGCCAACUGAUUUUUGUUUUUUUAACUACCCUGGUGUUGAUUUCUCUUAUUUUGAAAUGCUCUACUCCAUACUUGAUUUUAAACCAAUGACACCACACGUGGGCACCAAAGAUCCAAAUUCUAGUUGGGUGUUUGGGCUGUUCAGAUUUGUUAUUUACACUAGAAAUGAGACCGAGGCCUUUUUAAGAGCCUCCACGAGCAGUUUCAACGCCUGCAUCACUACAGGACACUUUCUUCCCACGCUCCUGAAGGAGGCAUUUAUUCAUCAUUAAAGCUUAAAUACACAAGUACUCCCACUCUGAUCACAGAUACUCACGCUGUGGGACCCUGACACCUGUGGAGGUCGGGCUCACCUGUCCACAGCAGCUCUGCAUGUUUGAUUUGGCACAUUUACACCAGUUUAAAGCUAAUGUUUAUGUGGAGUCACCACACAUCUGAUACUGGACGGACACUGAAGCACCACAUGAUUACAGCCAGCUGAUCGAUAAUUUGGUCCUUAAUUUGCAUUUUAAUCUGAUGUGCACAAAGAGGCGGAGUCUGCAGAGCUGCUGCUGUAAAUGCAGGUUUUUUUUUUUAAAAGUACUUUGAUGUUCAAACUGAGCUGCAGACACUCAGCUGACAGCCUCAUUUAUUCAGACAGACAUUGACAGGAGUUUGAAGCGUUUGUUCUGGAAGUCUGUCCUCAUUACCUCUGAGUGUUUCUCUGCACAGAACAACAACCCCUGCGAGACCACAGGCACUGGCAGGAAGCUCGAAAUUCCAAGUUUUCCUUUCCAACCUUUCUGUAUUUCGGAUACAGCAAGACUCCCUGUGUUUACGUCACUCGAUCAAUAAAAGAUAAAUACUAAAAUUUAAACUCAUCCACAUAUUCAUCUCGUGUUUUGGCUCAAACAUUCCAUCAGAGACGCUGAAACGCUGCCGACAUCUUUUUAUUUAAACUGGGAGAAAAAAGAAGCCAAGGUGCUUUUUUUUUGCUUUUUUUAAACCUUUAUUUUUUAGAACAGUGUCCUAUUCACUCAGAUGGGCACUCAACUUUGCCGCUGUUGAUGUCAUCAAUGACAUCAUGGGGAUGG